AUGAUGGGAAAAUUCAGAGGGGUUGUGGAUGAUCUUCAAUUAAUUGUUUUUCCACUGAUUGGAAGAAGGUUCACCUGGUCAAACGAGAGGGAAAACAUCACCCUAACCAAGAUAGAUAGAAUUAUGGUCACCAAUAAGUGGGAGGCUACUUUCCCCCACUUUAAGUUAUCGCCUGCCUCGACCAACAUAUCCGAUCAUUGCCCCCUUCUGCUGCGGAGAAUGGAGAUAAACAAGCAAAAGGCCUUUCGGUUUGAAAAUCAUUGGCUCAGAUGUGAUGAUUUCGAAGAGGUGGUAAACCAAGCUUGGAGCAAGGAAGUUGUUUCUGCUGAUCCGGUCAGGGCAUUGCACACGAAACUCACUAGGACAGCUAAGGCGCUCAAGUCUUGGAACAAGCAAAAGAUGAGGUGGACUGCUUUCAUUUCGGCUGCAGCUACGGAGGUGAUCUUCAACCUGGACUUGGCACAAGAGGAGAGGCAGUUAUCAGAUGGAGAGAGGCAGCUACGUGCACGUCUGAAGACCAAGCUGCUCGGCUUUGCUGCUCUGGAUAGAGCUAGGUGGCGACAAAAAUCAAGAAUGGCUGAAAUCAGAGAGGGUGAUGCAAGUACGCGUUUUUUCCACUUGCGAGCCUCUGGGAGGAGACGCAAAAACUAUAUUCCGCGGCUGAAUGGUGCCAAUGGUCCUGUUUCUGACCAUGCUGCCAAGGCCAAAAUCCUCUUCGAUAGAUUCAAGGGCCUCAUGGGAACACCUUUUGCCAGAACUGCGGAGCUAAACUAG
rnacentral:rRNA from 1 species